rnacentral:piRNA from 1 species
UCAAUGCCGAUGUUCUAUAAAAUAGAUUUUU